GACGAACGCUGGCGGCGUUCUUAACACAUGCAAGUCGAACGGUAAGGCCCUUCGGGGUACACGAGUGGCGAACGGGUGAGUAACACGCGGGUGAUCUGCCCUGCACUUCGGGAUAAGACUGGGAAACUGGGUCUAAUACCGGAUAGGACCACUGCCUGCAUGGGUGGGGGUGGAAAGCUUUUGCGGUGUGGGAUGGGCCCGCGGCCUAUCAGCUUGUUGGUGGGGUGAUGGCCUACCAAGGCGACGACGGGUAGCCGGCCUGAGAGGGUGACCGGCCACACUGGGACUGAGAUACGGCCCAGACUCCUACGGGAGGCAGCAGUGGGGAAUAUUGCACAAUGGGCGCAAGCCUGAUGCAGCGACGCCGCGUGAGGGAUGACGGCCUUCGGGUUGUAAACCUCUUUCAGCACCGACGAAGCGCAAGUGACGGUAGGUGCAGAAGAAGGACCGGCCAACUACGUGCCAGCCGCCGCCGUAA
rnacentral:rRNA from 1 species